ACCAGACGUCUGCAACAGACAAGAUUCUUUCUGCCUUUUUCAAAAGAUGCUCUCUGCAGCAGUAAGACUAUAGGUAGAGUUGAUUGGAAUAAUCAUGUGACCCAGUAUGCUACUGCUAGGCGUAAUUAUCAAAAAUUCAUUUUUCUCAUUAAAUAUUAAUACAGAGAGAAGCUAGAGCUCAUCAGUCUUUUCCUGGUGUCCUAGACCUUCCUCUAAAGCAGUCUUGGGGAGCUUGAGCCUCAGAUCUUUAGCCUAGACAGAGUGUCGCUGGUAAAGAAAGGAGACACAGUUGAAACCCAGAGUGGGCAGUGAUUUGCGUGGGGAGACACAGUGGAUCUGGGGCCUCUGACACUUUGCUUCCUAAAACAGUCCCCGGUUUUUGGCUUGCCCUAUGGGAUGAUUUGCUGUGCUUCCUUGAAACCAGGUGGAAAGAAAGGGGAAGAAUUAAUUUUCUCAUUCUGUUGCUGUUGAACGUAAUGUAAUCUUAAUACUGUAGCCUUCCUAGAAGCCCUUCCCUCUUUUCCAUGCUAUAAAGGGUUUCAAAUCUGUGAAAUUUGGAGAGGGGACAGUUGUUGGCUCUGGUAUUUACUAGUUUUGUAGGAACGUUUUGCUAGCCUGACUGACUUUUCUUACUGAUUUUUAUGCCCACGGUCUGAGGGGACUGUUCUCCUUGUUUGGGGUGUCUGCGGAAUAGUGUCUCGUCUGUUUGUAUAGGCAGUCAGUGUGUGUGACGUGUGUCCUUUCAGUCCGGAAGCCCACUGUGUGACAAUGGCAUGGGGUGUGGCUGGGAGGUGGGGUGCUGAAGCUUGAAGAGCAUUUCUUUGCUGAUUCAUAACAGUAUUUCCCAUCUUUUGCCUGCAGGCAGGGAAAGUGUACAGUAUUUAUUUUGUUUCUGUUUUACUUUAAAUUUGUAAGUCUUUAAGUAGCUUACAUUGAUUAUUAUAGGGGAGGACAAGUGACUUGUUUAAAGUUGUAUUUAGUAUUCUUUCCAAUUUCUGUAUUUUAAAAUAUUGAAAUUAAAAUUGUAUUACUUCUGUUUUGAUUUUUUUAGCACUCAGUGUAUUUUUUGCUCAUUUUGUUUGAAAGUAUAAAUGUUGAAACUUGUAUAAAAUGCGUCCUUGAAAGAAAAAGAAUCGGAAUUCUAUAUCUAA
rnacentral:lncRNA from 1 species